rnacentral:lncRNA from 1 species
UUUUUUUAUAGGAUAAACUAUACAAAUUAUUAUUCAACUAUUAAAAAUGUUCAUUUUAAGUUUCUAAAUAAAUAUGUUUGCAAUUUAAAUACACACUGUACAUAUUCGAUUAUUUGAGGUACUCUUGUUAAAAUGGAAAUCUUAAUGGAUUUUUCUUAAAUUAAAUCAAUAUUUUAAUUUCCAUGUCAGCUUUUAUUUUUUAAUCAAAACCAAUAAAAUUUAAACACGUAGCUUUGGCUUCUUUGUUUCAUCAUCAUCAUCAUCGUCCUACAUCAGUUGAAACCACCACCGUUGGCAUCUUCUUCUCCGAACCGACCUCUGGCACCAGCCUCCAAGAUCUCUCUAACAACUAUGCUUCUCCAACUGUUUCUCCGCCGUCAACCACCAUCUUCACCCCUUAAAUCUUCUCCAACUUCCUCUUCUUCUGUUUCUCCAGCAAUGGUUUCAAAGCACACUAGGCACAAUUUCAAGUUUCAAGUACUAAAGGAGACAUUAAGAGUAUAAGCUCGUGGGUUUUCGCUAACAAGUGUCCUAAUGAUACUACAAUUAAAUGCAGCAGUUGACAGGUAAUCUUAGCGAUUUCAAUGCAUUGAAUUGAAGAACAUAUUUUUUUUUACUACCUUUAAUAAUGCCUUUGAGUUGCUUAACAAAUUCAGAGUCUGAGGAAGGUUCAUAAGAAUGCUCUAAAACAUCUCCACCAAAGAAAAAUGGGAAAAAAAGAAGUGAAAUUAUAGGAAUAUAGAGAUAGAUCAGUGAAGCUGAAAAAGUUACCAGGGGGAUUAUAAAGUCCAGAACAUGGUGUUGGUGGGUUGGUCUUGAAGUUGUUCGAUGGAAUUACUAAGGGAUUUGAGGUCGUGAUGAACAAUAAGAGAAAACAGAGCAUUUCCAAUCGCUAGCGAGAGUGAGUGCCUGUUCAAACCCGCAACACUUGGAGGAUUCAUAAGAGAUGAAGCCAACCAUUGUUGGAGAAGCAGAAAGAGAGGAAACUGGAGAAGACUCAAGGGGUGAAGAUGGUGGUUGACGGCGGAGAAACGAUUGAAGAAGCAUAAUUGUUAGAGAGAUCUUGGAGGCUGGUGUUGGAGAAGAAGAUGCCGAUAGUGGUGGUUUCAACUGAAGAAGGGCAGUGGUAAUGAUUGAAACAAAAACCAAAGCUACGUGUUUAAAUUUUGUUGGUUUUGGUUUAAAACAAAAGCUGACAUGGAAUUUUUCCUUUUUUAUAAAAAAUUUUAAUUCAAGUAUAAAUUUGUUAUAAUUAUUUUUUAUUUUACAUUUAACCAUUUUAAUAGGCUAGAAAAAUUUUAAAGAGAAUUCAGAAUUAAAUUAUAAUUUUUUGAGAAAUUAAAAUAUAAUUUU